AUGGGGUCACUUAAAAAUUUUUUUUUUGGUAUAAUUUGGCCUCUAUGUCCUUAACUUAUUAAUAUCCCUUAACAAAUUCCUUUGGCGUUUCUUGCCCAUGAUGAAGUUCCAAGUUCUGUGUCCUUCCUGGUCUGGCCUUUGACAUCUGUUCAGUCCUGUCUUCCACAGGCCCCUUCCAUUCCAGUCAAGACCUACCACUCAAAGCCUCUCAAACAGGCUUUUCAGUAUCUCCACACCUUGACAGAUAAACAUGCUUUCUGCCUGAAAUGACUUUUCUUUCCUCAAAAACACCUUUUGAGCUAUACCUCACCUUUUUGACUAUCUUUUCUGUGUUAUUUCCACAUUCAACUAUUACAGACAUACUAACUUGUUUUAGAAUUAAUUUUCAAUUCUGUCUCCUCCAUUAGUCUGUGGGCUUCCUUACCUAUCUUUGUUCAGCUUUGAACCCCCAGUUGCAGUACAGUGCUGGGUAUUUAAUAAACAAUAAAUGUCGGCUCAGUGUUGAAUAAUUCAUUAUUUGUGGUAGGCAGAAUUCCAUAAUGACCUCAAGAUUCCCUCCCCGUGGUGUAUGUGAACUGUAUAAUCCCCUCCCCUUCCAGUGCAAGUAGGACCUGUGAAUAUGAUGAGAUAGUCAUUCUCUUUUUGUUUUUGUUUUGUUUUAGAAAGAGAGAGAGCAUGAGCCGGGGAGAGGGGCAGAGGGAGAAAGAAUCUCAAGCAGGCUCCAAGCUCAGCAUGGAUCCUGACACAGGGCUCAGUCCCAACCAUGACCCUUGGAUCAUGACCUGAGCCAAAAUGAAAAGUCAGACACUCAACCAACUGAGCCACUCAGGUGCCCCAAGAUAGUCAUUCUCUUGGUUAGUUUACAUUAUAGGACAAAGGUGUUGGAAUAGUUGUUCUAGUGGUCGUGUUGCCUUUGUAAGACUCCACUGUAGCCAACUUGAGGAAGAUUCUCCUGCUGGCUGUGAAGAAGAUGCUCUGUUGUGAAAGUGCCAUGAGCUAGAACCUGAAGGCAGCUUCUAGGAGCUGAGAGUGAUCCCAGUUGACAGCCAGCAAGAAAACAAGGACCUGAGUUCUGCGACCAUAGGCUCUGAAUUCUGCCAACCACCUGAAUGAGGAUGGAAGAGGAUUCUGAGACUCCGAUAAGAUCCCAGCCCCAGCGGACAACUUGAUUUCAGUCCAAUGAGACCCUGAGGACAGGGCCUAACUGACAGAAACAUUAGAGAGUACAGAAAAAAAAAAUAGGAAAGUAUGGAGACUAAAGAUCAUCCAUAAUCUCCAAAUGCAAAGACUGAUUCAUUCAUUCAUUCUGUCAAUGUUCACUACAGAAGACCACCAGGAACACAGCUGGAAUUGAGAUCACUCUGGCUGUGGGAGGACAGCAGGCGAGAAGCGUGAUAUAAGGCAGGAGACCAACUAAAAUACAACUUUAUUAGUCCAGUUCUGGAGGCUGGGAAGUCCAAGAUCAAGGUGCUGGCUGAUUCAGUUCCUGAUGAGGAUGCUUUUACUUACUUGCUGUCUUCUUGCUGUGUUCUUAUAUUUGAGAGAAAGGAGAUGACAAAUGGAGCAAAGUCGUUCAGGGAAUGGAAGAGGAUUGCACCAAGAGAAAGAAGAGUUGGACAGGAAGCAAGACUUCUGCUGGGAUUACAGAGGAGGAAGUAAGUUUGGGGGCAGAUAAGGUAACAUGCAAAUGUUAGCAGGGUCAGCUUCCUGGGUGUGUGACGUGAGCAGUUGCCUAGAGCUCACUCUCAGAAGGAACCCUGUUCUUCAUUUAAUCUCUGCCUUGACCACUUUGAAAUUCUUAAUAGUGUUCUCUUUGAACUUGUAUGUCAUAUGUGAAAUUCAGUGGUACAAUGAAGCAUGAGAAGAUCUGCCUGGCGACCGUGUGCACACACUCAAGUUUAAGCCCACAGAUGUGGGAGGCAGCAGGCAAGUCACAGGCAUACCUGACACAGACCUGGAGAACUACUGAAGGGGUGUCUGGGGCUGAGACCUGGGUCCAAAUUCGGUGGUGAUUGUGGCAGUAGCAGCAGAAGCCACUGUAGCCCAGGAAAAGAGGAGGGCAUGGAGGCAGCAUCCGUGCCUGCAGUAGGAGGCAGGCAUGCAUCUGUCCCAGGACCCCAGCUCCACAGCAUCUACACAAAUAUGAACUUUUUACAUGAGCACUGGGACAGGAGCUGUUGGUGUGCAGGCAGCAAACUUGGUAAGAUGAUGUCAAUUCAAAAUGGAAGUUUACACAUGGGCAUUGCAAUGAUGCAUGUCAGAGAGUUAUUAGACUAUUUCAGAGUUCAGAAAUUCUGGUAUUGAAAACUACUGCAACACAGUCAAGCAAAGGCCUGUUAAAUUGCCAUUGUAUAAAUUUACAUUUAUAAUUAAAUUCAGACUUGACAGGAAACUGAUUUGUAUGAAGAGUUAAAUCUUUUUAGAAAAGUUGUUUAGAACAUCAUGUAGCUUUACUAAAAUUUAUACUUCAGAAUAAUUUAUCGGAAAUUUAUCUCAAAUGUUGUCAUAGCCUAUAAAACACUCUUAAGAGCUCCAAUAAUAGUUGCUUCAGCAGAAAGAUCCUUCUCAAAAUUAAAAAUUAUCAAAAAUUAUUUUCAAUCUUGCAUUUGAAAAGAGCUACUGAUGUUGCUUCCAGUUAAUAUCAAUUGAAAAUGAAGUUGUUAAAAGUAAAAAGUGUGCCAACCUAAUAAAUGAACUUGAAGAAAAGUGAGCCAGAAUAGUCUUGUGAUUAGGAUGUCAUGUUAAUAAAAUACUGUUAUUUAUUGUAUUAUAUAAAAGUAUGAAACCAAAAGUUUUUUUUUUCCAUUUGAAAGUUUAUGUUUUAUUCAUAUAUCACUAUGGAUAAAGCUUUUAUUUUAGUACCCAUAACUGCACUUUUUUCUUUUUUCUUGCUUUUUAAAAUAAGGGGCCCCAGGGCGCCUGGGUGGCUCAGUCUGUUACGCAUCUGACUUCAGCUCAGGUCAUGAGCUCACGGUUCACGAGUUCGAGCCCUGCAUUGGGCUGUCUGCCAUCAGUAUGGAGCCCGCUUUGGAUCCUGUUUUCCCUUCUCUCUCCUACCCUCCCUGGCUUGUGUGCUCCCUCUUUCUGUCUCAGAAGUAAAUAAACAUUAAAAAAAUAAAAUAAAAUAAGGGGCCCUGUUUUUCACUUGGCAUUAAGCUCUGCAAAACAUGUAGCUGAACCUGGGUGUAAGGAUGGGAUGUUGAGGAAGCCUAGGCCUGAUAUACUCAGUUUCUUUUUUUUUUUUUUUUUCCUUCUAGAAAGUUGGAGGCAAGAAAAUGAAAACUGUGGGGAAUAGGAAGUUGUGUUCUGAGGGUUGCCUUCAAGGAAGAGUUUUAAAGAUCUAAAAUGUGGGGUGCCUGGAUAGCUCAGUCAGUUGAGCAUUAAGCUCUUAAUUUCAGCUCAGGUCAUAAUCUCACAGUUUGUGAGUUCAAGCUCUGCAUCAGGCUCUGCGCUGACAUUGUGGAGCCUGCUUGGGAUUCUCUCUCUCUCCCUCACUCUUUUCCUCUCCCCCAGUGUCUCUCUCUCAAAAAAAAAAAAAUAAUAAAUAAAUAAAUAAAUAAACAAUAAAAAAUAUAAAGAUUUAAGAUGUAAUGGGGGAAUCAGUUAGGGAAUAUAGCAUAUUUUCUGGGGGUUUUAAAAUACUUUCAACAUAAUAACUUCCAUAAGCUUUUGAAAAUUACUACAUCUAUAAUAUGCAUUUUAUGACAAAUCAUAAAGAAAAUUACAUUGGUGGAUUAUCCUAUUUCUGCCAAAACAUUUGUUAGGUUUAAUAUCAUGUUGUGAAGAAAAGUCAAAUACAGUUAGCCUGACUUGAUAUGAAAUAAAUGGUGUGCUAAGGUCUCAACUGCUAUAGAUGAUAGAAAAUGAAUGUAAAAAUGUCAUAUAAACUGUAAAGCAUUAUAAGUACUAUAGUUGUUAAAUUUAGUUCUAGUAAAUGAUCUAUAAAAUGUGAAUUUUUAAAAAUGUAGUUUUGUUUAUAAAAGUGUAAUUUUCCAUAUUAGAAAACUGGCAUAUGGCCUCUGUGGAAAAUGUGAAAACUUUGUUAUAUGGAGAAAAAAAUUACGGGUCCUUCUUUCAAAGUCUAUUACUGUUAUCAUUUUGAUAUGUUUUUUUUCCAGAUUUUUUUUCUCAGCAAUAAUUAGAAUCUAAGUGUGAUCAUAUAGUUACAUGUUAUAUAAAUUUUUCAUAAAAAUUGUUUUGAUAUUUGCAUGAUUGUCCAUUAUGUGGCUCUGUCAUAUGUGACUUAUCCAUUUACUUAUUGUUGGACAUUUAGGUAGUUUCCAAUGUUUUUGUAAUUUUAUAUAACUACAUGAAGAUUCUUCACUGAACUCCUUUCCAGUUAAAAUAUUUCUAAAAUUAAAUGAACAUCUUCCAUUUCUCUGCCUGUAACCCCCCCCCCCUUCUUAACAAACACAAAUAUGUGAGUCAUUGAUGUAUUUGAAUCUUGUUACUAAGGCCAUUGUGCAUUAAGAAAGUAUCCUUAGAAGGUGAAAAAACACUAAGCUUAACCCCAUAGGAAAUUACCUUUAUGAAUUUAUUCUCUGUUUUAUGGCCACACAAUAGCAAUGCCUGAGAAUUUCUUAGCAGGGAGGAAAGGCAAAAAUUCAGAUAUUGUGUGAUAGUUGGGUUAAUCAUUGCAGAAGAGAACACAGGCUGGAAACAGGAUGAGGAUCCCUGCCAGGUAUAAUUAGCCGUUUUCUAUCACCUCUAAACUAUUUAAAUGGAAAUGGGUCAUUUGGAAUCACAUUUAGAUUUUCUCCAAAAUGACUAUUCUUACUAGGAAUAUGUCACUUGUCCUCUGUUCAGUUCAGUCUGUUUAUUUUGUGGUCAGGAGACUUGAAGGAGUUAAAGCACUUUGCAAAUGCCUUCCUGUGUUUGGGAUUAUUUUCCUCCCCCAAUAGGAUCUGGCUUAUUAGAGCCUCAGAUAUGUCUAAAGAAAAUUCUAUGUUAGAUGCAUCACUGAAAUGCUUGCUGUCUCACUAGGAGCCCACAUGAAAAUGGCAUGGUGGAGUAAACUUAUUUUUGUCUCUUCUCAUGAGUUUUCCACAAAACAGCUGGCCUUUUCUAAAAGGAGGUUGACAAACAAUUUACAAGGUUUGAGAAGGGACUAAUUA